UACGAAGGUGGCAAGCGUUGUUCGGAUUUACUGGGCGUAAAGGGCGCGUAGGCGGCAGAUUAAGUCAGCUGUGAAAUCUCCGAGCUUAACUCGGAACUGUCAGCUGAUACUGCUUUGCUAGAGUGCGGAAGGGGCAAUCGGAAUUCUUGGUGUAGCGGUGAAAUGCGUAGAUAUCAAGAGGAACACCUGAGGUGAAGACGGGUUGCUGGGCCGACACUGACGCUGAGUGCGCGAAAGCCAGGGGAGCAAACGGG
rnacentral:rRNA from 1 species